GAUGGGGGGGGGGGCCGAGGCAAGGAUGUCAGUCGAGCGAAUGAGAACUAGCUUGUUCUUAUGAAGUGGCGGGGGGAGGGGUGAGUGCGCGUGGGUAACCUGCGCAUAAGAGAGGGAUAACUCCAGGAAACCGGGGCUCGGCCGGAUAACAUUUUGAACCGGCGGGUUCUGAAUUGAGGGGCGGCUUCCGCUGUCACUUAGGGAUGGACCCGCGUCGCAAUAUCUAGUUGGUGAGGUAACGGCUCACCAAGGCAACGAUGCGUAGCCGACCUGAAAGGGUGAUCGGCCACCCUGGAACUGAGACACGGCCCAGACUCCUACGGGAGGCAGCAGUAGGGAAUCUUCCGCAUGGACGACGGUCUGACGGAGCAACGCCGCGGGAGGGAUGAAGGCUUUCGGGUCGUAAAACUCUGUUGUUAGGGAAGAACAAGUGCUGGUUGAAUAAGGUGGCACCUUGACGGUACCUAACCGGAAAGCCACGGCUAACUACCUGCCAACAACCGCGGUAAUACGUAUGUGGCGAGCGUUAUCCGGAAUUAUGGGGCGUAAAGCGCGCGCAGGUGGUUGCUUAAGUCUGAUGUGAAAGCCCACGGGCUCAACCGUGGAUGGUCAUUGUAAACUGGGAGACGUGAGUGCAGAAUAGGAAAGUGGAAUUCCAUGUGUAACGUUGAAUGCGUAGAGAUAUGGAGGAACACUAGUGGCCAAGGCGACUUUCUGGUCUGUAAGUGACGCUGAUGCGCGAGAGCGUGGGGAGCGUACACGAUUACAUACCCUAGGUAUUCCACGCGGUAGGGGAUCAGUGCUCAGUAGUUAGAGGGGUUUCCGCCCUUUAGUGCUGAACGUGAACGCAGUAAUGCAACGUCCGCAGGCGGAGGUAGUGGCGGGGGAGCUGGAACUCAGGAGGAAUUUGACGGUGGGCACUCAACAAGCCGGUGCAACCUGUGCGUUAAUUCGAACAAUGCAGAUAAACUUACGAGUCUUCGCAUUCCUGGGAACAAGGCUAGAGAUGAGGCUUCUCCUUCCGGGAAGGCAAUUGACAGGGGGGGGUCAUGCUUUACCGCAGCUCCUGUUCCUCUAAGUGUCCGCUAAUUCGGCAACCA
rnacentral:rRNA from 1 species